GAUGAACGCCAGCGACAGGCUUAACACAUGCAAGUCGAGGGGCAUCAUGAGGUAGCAAUACCUUGAUGGCGACCGGCGCACGGGUGAGUAACGCGUAUGCAACCUGCCCGAUACCGGGGUAUAGCCCAUGGAAACGUGGAUUAACACCCCAUAGUACUUUUAUCCUGCCUGGGAUGGGAGUUAAAUGUUCAAGGUAUCGGAUGGGCAUGCGUCCUAUUAGUUAGUUGGCGGGGUAACAGCCCACCAAGACGAUGAUAGGUAGGGGUUCUGAGAGGAAGGUCCCCCACAUUGGAACUGAGACACGGUCCAAACUCCUACGGGAGGCAGCAGUGAGGAAUAUUGGUCAACGGACGUAAGUCUGAACCAGCCAAGUCGCGUGAGGGAAGACUGCCCUAUGGGUUGUAAACCUCUUUUAUAAGGGAAGAAUAAGUUCUACGUGUAGAAUGAUGCCUGUACCUUAUGAAUAAGCAUCGGCUAACUCCGUGCCAGCAGCCGCCGCAG
rnacentral:rRNA from 1 species